rnacentral:rRNA from 1 species
UACGGAGGAUUCGAGCGUUAUCCGGAUUUAUUGGGUUUAAAGGGAGCGUAGGCGGGUUGUUAAGUCAGUUGUGAAAGUUUGCGGCUCAACCGUAAAAUUGCAGUUGAUACUGGCAUCCUUGAGUACAGUAGAGGUAGGCGGAAUUCGUGGUGUAGCGGUGAAAUGCUUAGAUAUCACGAAGAACUCCGAUUGCGAAGGCAGCCUGCUGGACUGUAACUGACGCUGAUGCUCGAAAGUGUGGGUAUCAAACAGG